UACGGAGGGUGCAAGCGUUAUCCGGAUUUACUGGGUUUAAAGGGUGCGUAGGCGGGUAGGUAAGUCAGUGGUGAAAUCUCCGAGCUUAACUCGGAAACUGCCUUUGAUACUAUUUAUCUUGAAUAUUGUGGAGGUAAGCGGAAUAUGUCAUGUAGCGGUGAAAUGCUUAGAUAUGACAUAGAACACCUAUUGCGAAGGCAGCUUACUACGCAUAUAUUGACGCUGAGGCACGAAAGCGUGGGGAUCAAACAGG
rnacentral:rRNA from 1 species